rnacentral:rRNA from 1 species
UCGGCGCACUGCUCAGUACACGUGGAUACCUACCCUCAGGAGGGGGAUAACCCCGGGAAACUGGGGAUAAUACCCCAUAGAUCAGGGACGCUGGAAUGCCCCCUGAUCCAAAGGUCCGCCGCCUGAGGAUGGGUCUGCGGCCGAUUAGGUUGUUGUUGGGGUAACGGCCCAACAAGCCAUUGAUCGGUACGGGUUGUGAGAGCAAGAGCCCGGAGAUGGAUUCUGAGACACGAAUCCAGGCCCUACGGGGCGCAGCAGGCGCGAAAACUUUACAAUGCGAGAAAUCGUGAUAAGGGAACCCCGAGUGCCCGUAAAUUCGGGCUGUCCAUCAGUGUAAAUAACUGGUGAAGAAAGGGCCGGGCAAGACCGGUGCCAGCCGCCGCGGUAAUACCGGCGGCUCGAGUGGUGGCCACUAUUACUGGGCUUAAAGCGUCCGUAGCUGGACUGUUAAGUCUCUUGGGAAAUCCACCGGCUCAACCGAUGGGCGUUCAGGAGAAACUGGCAAUCUAGGGACCGGGAG